UAGUCCGUGCUUGUGAAACAUAUCUAGGACUAGACCUAUAGCCUAUACUUUAAAGUGGUUAGUAAAUCAGCAUAUUCAACCAUGAAUAAGUCUAUAUCAUUUCUUCUGUACUGAGCUGCAAUCACACAGGUAUGCAACUCUGGGAUUACAAAUGUGAUUGAAUUAGAUCUAGAUCUAGAGAUCAAUCUUAGUGUAUCUACAACCUAGACUCUGAGGUCAGGAUGCUAUGCUAGUGACACUAGUGUCACAUUUCAAAAUAUUAAAUUGGAAUUUGAGACCAAGGACGGGCGUUGAAUCUUGAAGAUAUGCCUAGAUUUGAGUAACGACCAAUUAUAGGCCUACUCAUUCUGAGAACCCUACAAUAAAAAAAACAAAAUGCAAGAUUUUUCAGGUGCAUUCAAGAAUUCCAGAAAACGCUACAGAAUUUCCCCCAUUUUGAGCCUCCCUGAAUGUGUAGUGCGUAUUCUGUAUUCCUGGGUGAGUCGCCUGGCCAGGGGAGCAGUCCGACGUGUGUACGGUCUAAGCCAGCACCUCAAGAAGAGCCCAACUCAACGUUACGCACUAUUGGUCGCUGCCUUUGUCAUUGUGUGUAUCGUAUUAUGUAGAAGAAGAGCGCCAUCCAAAGACUUGGGGACAUGCACCUAUAAGACAUGUCCUCGAGUCAAGGACGGGACUUUGAACAUUCAUCUGAUUCCAUACAGUCACGUGGAUGUCGGCUGGCUGGACACAGUUGAU
rnacentral:sRNA from 1 species